rnacentral:rRNA from 1 species
GCAAAACGCGAAGAACCUUACCCACCUUUGACAUGUACGGAAUCCUUUAGAGAUAGAGGAGUGCUCGAAAGAGAGCCGUAACACAGGUGCUGCAUGGCUGUCGUCAGCUCGUGUCGUGAGAUGUUGGGUUAAGUCCCGCAACGAGCGCAACCCUUGCCAUUAGUUGCUACAUUUAGUUGAGCACUCUAAUGGGACUGCCGGUGACAAACCGGAGGAAGGUGGGGAUGACGUCAAGUCCUCAUGGCCCUUAUAGGUGGGGCUACACACGUCAUACAAUGGCUGGUACAAAGGGUUGCCAACCCGCGAGGGGGAGCUAAUCCCAUAAAGCCAGUCGUAGUCCGGAUCGCAGUCUGCAACUCGACUGCGUGAAGUCGGAAUCGCUAGUAAUCGUGGAUCAGAGUGUCACGGUGAAUACGUUCCCGGGUCUUGUACACACCG